AAAAAGAUGCAUAAACUACGACCGUCGAGAUUAAACUUAUUGCAUAAAAUACAGUUAGCCCGAACCAGUGACUCUCGCCUAUGGCAUCGGGGCUUACCGUAAUUGUCACCGGAGACGAAUAAGCCCUGAUUUAUCGAUAGAUUUUUCCUGGAAAGUUAAAUUAUUUAUUGAAAUCCAAGAGAAAGAUGUCCGAUUUAGCUUGUUUGCUCUUGCAACUCCUCAUCCUUCAUUUAUUUUUACCUGGGAUUUCAGCAAUCAGGAAGGACAUUGGCUUUCAAGAGCUAAAUCUUUGUAGAAACACAGUUCAAGGAAGAUUUCUUCUAUCUGAUGACAAGGGCCAUGUAUGUGAUGCUCUAUCACUGGAUCCACUAUCCCGCUGCUGCCCUGAGAAAGGAGAGAAAUUCUCUUGUCAUGGAUGCAACCUUCUUUCACAGUGUUGCAAUUCCUAUGAAUUUUGUGUUUCAUGCUGCCUUAAUCCUGCGAGGACACGAGAGAAAGAAGUCAUGAAGCUGAAAGUAGCCAAGCCAUCAACUGCAGGGACUUAUGCAAGUAUUUUUGAUUUCUGUGCUGGGAGGUGCCGUCAUAAUUCUGAGAGCGUGGUUCACGAAAAUGCUUAUCUUAGUGAUUUCCAUCAUUGCUUUUCUCUACCAUCAAACUCUUCAGGUGCCAAUCAUACACAAUUAGAAGCAAGACUAGUCGGCAUAAAUGUAGUUAUUGGAAGGCAAGGUAAGUCCUGUGAUUCAGCUUGCAAGUCAAAUGGACAAUCGUGCGUCUUAAAUAAGCUUCUGGUGCUUAAUCAAUGUGACAUGGGAGACAAUAUUAUAAAGGUUUUGUUCUCUCUUCAGGUGGCAGAAUUUUUGAUGUAAUGUUGAAUAUGCAGAAAUAUUUGAGCUGCAAGGGAGCAUGUCUAGCGAGCAUUGGAGCAGAUCAACCUGCCGAAGUUGUUGAUGAUGCUCCUAAACACUCGAACCCAGGAGCAUGCUUGUACACUCGAACACAAUCGAUGCUUUCCUGUGAUGGUUCACAUCAUCACACCAGGAGACUUUGCCCCUGUGCAUAGUUUUCGCUUAGAAAAUUCUGUAAGGACAAACAGUCUGAAGCAUGUGGGUUAUUUACGUAUCUUUGUGAUUGUCGCAAGAAAGGUAUUAGGAAAAAUUUUUUUGCAGAAAAAGAUGUAUUCUGGGGUUACAUAUUUUUAAUGGCUAAAUGCAUAAAUCACUUCUGUACUUCUCUCAAAAAUGUAAUGGCACCCAAAUUUUGUAGGGUAUGCCCCCUAGAGUUGUAAAUUUUGAUAAAAUUACGUGUCUUUCAUUACUAUCAACAAAAAAUUUUAGGGUUUUUGA